UACGAAGGGUGCAAGCGUUACUCGGAAUUACUGGGCGUAAAGCGUGCGUAGGUGGUUCGUUAAGUCUGAUGUGAAAGCCCUGGGCUCAACCUGGGAAUGGCAUUGGAAACUGGCGACCUAGAGUGCGGUAGAGGGUAGUGGAAUUCUCGGUGUAGCGGUGAAAUGCGUAGAUAUCGGGAGGAACACCUGCGGCGAAGGCGGGUUGCUGGGCUGACACUGACGCUGAGGCGCGAAAGCCAGGGGAGCGAACGGG
rnacentral:rRNA from 1 species